GCCUGGGUGGCUCAGUCAGUUAAGCGUCUGACUUCAGCUCAGGUCACGAUCUCACAGUCUGUGAGUUUGAGCCCCACGUCAGGCU
rnacentral:tRNA from 1 species